GAACCCGCCGCGGCAGUCACGUGGCGUGCGACCCGGAGGUGGAACGGGUCGGCGCCGCGCAGCCCUCGGCUCCCGGAGCACAGACGACCCGCCGGACCUGCGGCGACCGUGCGUCCCCGCGCCCCCGCGCCCACCCGACCAUGUGGGCACCGCGCUCCCGCACCCCGCUGCUCACGCUGCUGGCCGCGCUGCUGGCCACGCCCCGGGCCCUGGCAGAGGCCCCGCACCUCCUGCUUGUGGACGCGGCCCGCGUUCUGCGGCCUCUGCGGCCCUUCUGGAGGAGCACCGGCUUCUGCCCCCCACUGCCUCACAGCCAGGCUGACCAGUAUGACCUCAGCUGGGACCAGCAGCUUAACCUGGCCUAUGUGGGUGCUGUCCCUCAUGGUGGCAUUGAGCAGGUCCGGACCCACUGGCUGCUGGAGCUCAUUACAGCCCGGGGAUCAGCUGGGCAAGGUCUGAGCUACAACUUCACCCAUCUGGAUCGGUACCUGGAUCUUCUCAGGGAGAACCAGCUCCUCCCAGGCUUUGAACUGAUGGGCAGCCCCUCCAAACGCUUCACCAACUUCGAGGACAAGGAGCAGGUGUUUGAGUGGAAGGAGCUGGUCUCUCUUGUGGCCAGGAGAUACAUUGAUCGGUAUGGACUCUCACAUGUUUCCAAGUGGAAUUUCGAGACAUGGAAUGAGCCAGACCACCACGACUUUGACAACGUGUCCAUGACCAUGCAAGGCUUCCUGAACUACUAUGACGCCUGCUCCGAGGGUCUGCGGGCUGCCAGCCCAGCUCUGCGCCUCGGAGGCCCCGGGGACUCCUUCCACCCCUGGCCCCGAUCCCCGCUCUGCUGGGGCCUCCUGGGGCACUGUCACAACGGCACCAACUUCUUCACGGGUGAGUCGGGCGUGCGGCUGGACUACAUCUCCCUCCACAAAAAGGGCGCGGGCAGUUCCAUCUACAUCCUGGAGCAGGAGAAGGCCACGGUGCAACAGAUAAAACAGCUCUUCCCCAAGUUUGCCGACACCCCCAUUUACAACGAUGAAGCAGACCCCCUGGUGGGCUGGUCCCUGCCGCAGCCUUGGAGGGCGGACGUGACCUACGCGGCCAUGGUGGUGAAGGUCAUCGCGCAGCACCAGAACCUGCUGCUGGCCAACACCAGCUCGGCCAUGCGCUAUGCGCUCCUGAGCAACGACAACGCCUUCUUGAGUUACCACCCGCACUUCUUCACGCAGCGCACGCUCACUGCGCGCUUCCAGGUCAACAACACGCGGCCGCCGCACGUGCAGCUCCUGCGCAAGCCGGUGCUCACCGCCAUGGCGCUGCUGGCCCUACUGGACCGCGAGCAGCUCUGGGCUGAGGUGUCGCAAGCCGGGACCGUGCUGGACAGCAACCACACAGUGGGCGUGCUAGCCAGCGCCCACAGCCCCAGUGGCCCCCUUGACGCCUGGCGCGCCACGGUGCUGGUCUAUGCGAGUGACGACACGCGCACCCACGCCAACCGCAGCGUCGCCUUGACCCUGCGCCUGAGUGGGGUGCCCCCCGGCCCAGGGCUUGUCUACGUCAUGCUGUACUUGGACAACCAGCUCUGCAGCCCACAUGGCGAAUGGCAGCGUCUGGGCCAGCCGGUCUUCCCCUCCACAGAGGAGUUCCGGCGCAUGCGCGCAGCUGAGGACCCGGUGGCUGUGGCGCCACAACUCUUUCCUGACAGCGGCCGCCUGACCCUUCGCCGGGAGCUCCAGCUGCCCUCGCUCCUGCUGGUGCACGUGUGCGCGCGCCCCGAGAAGCCACCAGGCCAGGUGACCCGGCUCCGUGCUCUGCCUUUGACCAGUGGGCAGGUGCUUUUGGUCUGGUCGGAUGAGCGCGUGGGCUCCAAGUGCGUGCCUGUGGACCUAUGAGAUCCAGUUCUCCACGGAUGGUGAGGUGUACGCCCCUGUCAGCAGCAAGCCGUCGACCUUCAACCUCUUCGUGUUCAGCCCAGAUGCCGCUGUCACCUCUGGCUUCUACCAGGUUCGAGCCGUGGACUACUGGGCCCGACCAGGCCCUUUCUCAAACCCUGUGCGCUACGUGGAGGUCCCUGCCCUAUGAAGCCCUCCCCACCCGGUGACUGUGAACCUGUGCUGACCCGGCAGCCUGGGGGGCCAGGAACUGAGAUGGGUUGGACCACCAGUGGCCCAUCCAUCAGCUGUAUCUGUCCUCUCCUGUCCUUUUGCUCAUCCACUUAAAGUGCCUUUCCACUGGUCA